UGGCAGCGAGGCGAGAGCCGUGCUGGAGGAGCGCCGGGACGAGUUCGAGCACGACAUGGUGAUGCCGCACUUCCAGCGCGUCGCCAUCAGCGGAGAGGACACGUCGGGGGUAAGUGGAGCUGGCAGCGAGGCGGGAGCCGUGCUGGAGGAGCGCCGGGACGAGUUCGAGCACGACAUGGUGAUGCCGCACUUCCAGCGCGUCGCCAUCAGCGGAGAGGACACGUCGGGGGUAAGUGGAGCUGGCAGCGAGGCGGGAGCCGUGCUGGAGGAGCGCCGGGACGAGUUCGAGCACGACAUGGUGAUGCCGCACUUCCAGCGCGUCGCCAUCAGCGGAGAGGACACGUCGGGGGUAAGUGGAGCUGGCAGCGAGGCGGGAGCCUUGCUGGAGGAGCGCCGGGACGAGUUCGAGCACGACAUGGUGAUGCCGCACUUCCAGCGCGUCGCCAUCAGCGGAGAGGACACGUCGGGGGUAAGUGGAGCUGGCAGCGAGGCGGGAGCCGUGCUGGAGGAGCGCCGGGACGAGUUCGAGCACGACAUGGUGAUGCCGCACUUCCAGCGCGUCGCCAUCAGCGGAGAGGACACGUCGGGGGUAAGUGGAGCUGGCAGCGAGGCGGGAGCCGUGCUGGAGGAGCGCCGGGACGAGUUCGAGCACGACAUGGUGAUGCCGCACUUCCAGCGCGUCGCCAUCAGCGGAGAGGACACGUCGGGGGUAAGUGGAGCUGGCAGCGAGGCGGGAGCCGUGCUGGAGGAGCGCCGGGACGAGUUCGAGCACGACAUGGUGAUGCCGCACUUCCAGCGCGUCGCCAUCAGCGGAGAGGACACGUCGGGGGUACCCUUGGAAGACUUGCAACAAGCCUCCUCCUACCUGGUGCAGGCGCUAGACAUCCGCAAGCGCUACAUGGAGAUGUCCCACCAGAGCUUCUGCACCAUCACCGCUCGCUUCCUGAGGAAUAUGGACCCUGACGCGCCGGCCAACCAUGCGCCUUACACUAAGGGUCCUAGUGGACAUAUAGCAGAUCACGUAGUGCACCCACCGUUCAGGGACAAGGACCCGUGGGAGUGCCACAUGCCAGAGCCGAAGGACUACGCCAUCCGCUCCGACCGUGGCGUCUUCAACCUGUAUACUAAGGGCGCAGACGGCCAGGAGACCAGAGUGCCGUACGAGUAUAUACCUCUGUCGGAGUACAUUCAGGAUAUGAGUACGAUGUGCAACAUGAUCGCGGAUGGACCGCUGAAGUCCUUCUGCUACCGGCGACUGUCCUACCUGUCGUCCAAGUUCCAGCUUCACGUGCUGCUCAAUGAGCUCCGGGAACUAGCUUCACAAAAGGCUGUGCCACAUCGCGACUUUUACAACAUCAGAAAAGUGGACACUCACAUCCACGCAGCAUCGUGCAUGAACCAGAAGCACCUGUUGCGCUUCAUCAAGAAGACCCUGAAGAACCACGCCGACGAGGUGGUGACGCUGCACAAGGGCGUGCCCAUGACCCUCAAGGCCGUCUUCCAGUCCAUGAACCUGAGCACCUAUGACUUGACUGUGGACAUGCUGGAUGUGCAUGCGGACCGAAACACGUUCCAUCGGUUCGAUAAGUUCAACGCGAAGUACAACCCCAUCGGCGAGUCCAGACUCCGUGAGGUGUUCCUCAAGACCGACAACCACAUGAACGGAAAAUACUUUGCUAGGAUUAUAAAGGAAGUGGCUUCGGACUUGGAGGAGAGUAAAUACCAGAAUGCGGAGCUCCGUCUGUCCAUCUACGGCAAGAGCACGAACGAGUGGGCCAAGCUGGCCAAUUGGGCCAUCCAGUACGACGUGCACUCCAACAACGUGCGGUGGCUCAUCCAGAUACCUAGGCUUUACGAUAUCUUCAAAUCGAACAAGAUCAUGAACAACUUCCAAGAGCUCCUGACGAAUAUUUUCCUGCCCUUGUUCGAAGUCACCAAGGACCCCAAUAGUAACAUAGAGCUGCACAAAUUCCUAACGCACGUGGUCGGCUUCGACAGCGUAGACGAUGAAUCCAAGCCCGAGAAUCCGAUCUUGGACCCCGAGGUCCGCGCCCCGGGCGACUGGGACGACGAGGAGAACCCCCCCUACGCGUACUACCUCUACUACAUGUAUGCCAAUAUCACCGUGCUCAACCACUUCCGCAAGGAGCAAGGGCUGAACACGUUCGUCCUCCGCCCGCAUUGCGGCGAGGCUGGACCUGUACAGCAUCUCGUCUGCGGGUUUAUGCUUGCUGAGAACAUCUCCCACGGACUGCUGCUUAGGAAGGUUCCAGUACUGCAGUACCUGUACUACCUGACGCAGAUCGCGAUAGCCAUGUCUCCGCUCAGCAACAACUCCCUGUUCCUGAACUACCAUCGCAACCCGCUGCCAGAGUUCUUGGCUAGAGGACUCGCCAUCACGCUCAGCACAGAUGACCCGCUGCAGUUCCACUUCACCAAAGAGCCGCUGAUGGAGGAGUACAGCAUCGCGACGCAAGUGUGGAAGCUGUCUUCCUGUGACAUGUGCGAGCUGGCGCGCAACUCCGUGCUGAUGUCCGGCUUCCCGCACGAGAUGAAGCAGUACUGGCUGGGCCCCAACUACAUGAAGGAGGGCGUGGCCGGCAACGACAUCACGCGCACCAACGUGCCCGACAUCCGCAUCUCCUUCCGCUACGAGGCGCUGCUCGACGAGCUCACCAACAUCUUCAAGGUACUUACACUGUAGUUUCGGAAAGAUCUUGAGCCAUCUCUACAGCAACCUAAUGAAGAUAAAGCGAUGCGGCUCGCCCGUCGUCCAUUGAGGUACCAGGGUCCGCUACGCGCUGGGCCGAGACUGGGUGCCCCCGCCCGCGCCCACCACCCCGCAGCCGCCCAACA
rnacentral:misc_RNA from 1 species